CAUAUAUAUAUAUAUAUAUAUAUAUAUAUAUAUAUAUGAACCCACAUAAUAAAUAAUUCAACUAUAAGUAACCUUUCUGAGUAAAUUAAUGAAGUAGGGAUAAUGAAUAAUGGAUAGAAACAUUCAAAGAAAACCUUUUCCAGAGGAUUUACAGAAUCUCCCCAUCCAGGAACCUUGCUGUAAAAGCUCUAGCUUUCUGUGUCAGAAAGGAAUGGGCCUGUGAAUUUUACUCUUUGGAGAGACAAUGUAGUUGGGUUAAUUAUACUCAGAUUGGAACCCGAGUUCAAGAACCACUAAUCACAGAAGAAAAUCAUCAGGAACAGGGUCAGGCAAGUAGACUAAGGUCAAAAACAUGGAGUUAAAGUUCUCUAAAAGGGCAUGAACUGAGGUUAAAAAAUACAGUAGAACUUAGCCUGACUGACAGGUCUAAUGCAAGCCCCAGGUAAGCAGUUAGGAGCUUCAAUGUUCACAGGCUGCAGGACACCUGGUCUGCAGGUGCUGUCUUCUCAUGUGAUCAGCACAUAUGUGUUCAUACUGCUUUGGAACUGCCCACAUGUUGACUAAAAACUUUAAUUCUUUUGCCUUGUUUGAGUUUGGCCACUCUUGAUUAUACAUGUUAAUGAAACGAAGCAGCCAAAGUCUUCAGCAUUUGGCUCACAUGUUGCAAACCAUUCUGAGGCAAUGUACUCCAUCUCAGAGAUGUAGUUUGAAAGUGUAUUGACUAAACUGAGAAAAUUAGCCUGCAGUUGGUAGAGUGCUUGCCUUGCAUGCACAAUACCCAGGGUUCAAUCCCUAGUACCACACACACACAAAAAAAAAAAGAAAAAAAAUAGCCUAGAAUUAUGUAAAAUUGCCAUUCAUAAUCCAAAAUCAAUAAUUGAUAUGUUAAUUUUUUUUUACUUUGAAUCUGCAGACACCCCCUGUACCUUUUGUGAAAUGUCAUAAAAAAAGGCUUGUGCAGUUAUUCAGCAUUCACGUAAUCUGUAGGUAUUGUAUUGACUUGAACUUGUUUAGUUGACUGAAGCAGGGUUUCUCAAACUUCAGUGUGCAUCAGAAUGACAUGGAAGUCUUGAUAAAGCCAUGCCCUUACCAUCUUCUAAGACAUUUUGUCUGGGGUUAGGAGUUUGCAUUCUAACAGCUUCCCAGGAGACCUGCUGAUAGGAAUUCUGCUCCUUGGAAAUCACUGCAUUAAACUUUUCUCCAAUUAUUAUACAUUGGCAUAUUCUAACUGUGGAUCUUAGUUUUAUGUUUUAUGAAAAAAAUUCUUUUUUUUAUAUUCACAUAUUACCUAGGAUGUUGGCUAUCUUAGAGUAGAGGCUAGAAAUAUGGUGGACCAAUGAUCUUAUUGACUAGAUUAACUUUCAAAAGUGUGAUUAUUUUGCACAUCUUGAAGACCAAGUCAGAUUAUCUGGCAGUGAUCUGAUUAAUGAUCUGACGAGCAGAUGAAACUGUGGUCGAAAAGUACCUAAGUCUCCUAUUGAAUGGUUCAGUCUUCCUGACUAGAUUUGCCUUCUAGGGGGAAGAAUUAAUGAAUGUUAAUUGAUAGUAAUUAAAUCUUGCAUCUUGCUAUGGGUCAUCAGAGGAUACCUCCGUGGUUUACUUAUGUGCAGACUAAGAUACAUGAAGACACUAAGAAUGAGCCUCCAAGUUCUGAGCAGCAAAGAUGAAUUUCAGUAAAGAAUUUUACUUAUCUUCAUUCUGGUAACAUACUGUGGGCAAUCUUCUGGGCAGAUCCUAUUUAUUAUGCUUCUUAGGGUUUUGGUCCCAUUUUAUAAUGCCCCAAAAGAUGGAGAAAAUAUUCUGUUGUUUUGAAAAUGGAUAUGGGAUUUCUGACAUAAUCAAUUUUAUUGACUUCUUGAGAGUCAUAAUGAUCUGUGAUUCACUGCAUAAUAGUGUACUUUUAUGAGGUUGUACAUCAGCCUGUGUCAGACAACUUUUAAGACUUGUGGCCCAAUGAGGAUAGGAAGUGAGGUUUAUUAUGAGUAGCAUUUACUAAGCAUUCAUUAGAAUCAAGGUACUGUGUUAGCUGCUUAGGUUACAACAAACAAUUUAAUAAGAAAACGAAGGACAGCUACCAAAGUUACCUGCACAGUGACCAGUGUUAUUGGAAACACACAUCAAUGGAACUCAAAGCUAAAGCUGAAAGAGAAGAUGAAGAAUAGAUUACGGUGUACUUUCAAGGGAGAAAAGAAGGCUUCUUGGAAUAGUUUCCUGAAAAGAGGGGAAGGACUAAGAAAGGGUCACUAAAGAAGCACCCCAGGAACAGACACCCCCAGCUCUCCUAGAUAUCUGCACAACCCAUCUCUGGGGCUAGAAGGAUGGAGUAGGAUGAAGGGAUCUGGGCCUGGAGCCUGUUUCUACAUGUUUGACCCUCACAGCCACAGGAAGGUGUGAAUCCUACCCACAGGCAAGGAAGCUAGCUUGGGGAAGUUGAAGAACUUGCUGAAGGUCCUCCCAGAUUUGGAGGAGGAGGCAGGAUCUGUCUGACUUCAAAUAUAGUGCUCUUUCUUGCACUCUGCAUUGCACAAAGGAGCCAGUGCAGGUUCAAGAUCAGAUUCAAAGGGAUGGGUAUGAAAAAUCAUUUGUUGAUCCAAAAAAUUUUUAGUAGGCACACAAACCUUGUUAUUACAUCUACUUUCUUCACUAUCCUGGUCCUCUGCUGUACACAUGGCCUCUGCUGUGAGUUGAUAUGAGUUAAGUGAAUUUGUUGAUGCAUUGAAUAAAUUUAUUUAUUUAUAAAUUUAUUUAUCAGUGGCAUCCUUUGUGUCAGGCACUGUUGUAGUAGCAGUGAAAGUCAAAACCACCAGGAACCCUGUCCUCAUAGAGCUUACAUUUGAGUGAACGCAUGUUCUCCAGUCUUAGGUCCCUCUAUAAGCUCUUCCUAAGGGGUUGAGAACUUUUCUUGUCCUGUUGCAUUCUCAUAAUGCUGAGUGGCCUGUCGGUUCUCUAUUAGUGUGCACUAAGCAGUCUGUGACAUGCUUUGUGGUGAUCAUGAUAGCCCAUAUUAUUCUGUUAACUCUUGGUUUCUUCAGGGCAUUAUUUAGCUACCAAUGGCUUCUUCAGCAUGCUUCUUUCCAGGGGUCUAAAACACCCCCCAAACCUCACCUCACCUCACACAAUGCUGGAAUUGCCUGUUGGGUUAUCUUUCCUCCUGCCCAAAACUCAAAUUCCCUGAGGGCAGAGGCUAUGUCCUGCUCAUUUUUGUGUCCCCCUUGGGUAGCACAGCACCUGGCAUGUAAUGUGGCUCAAUAAAUAUCUGUAAAAUGAACGAAUCAAAUAGUUCUUCAAGACUUCCUCAAACUCAUUGGUAUCUAAUGUGUUGAGACCGCUGUCCAGAUUGUACCCAAAAUUUGUCUUUCUAGUAUCCAGAAUAUUAUCAUUUCACCAUUCUUGGAUAAAACUCAUGAAUUUCCAAUACUAAUAUCUGAUUUAUCUUUGAAAAUAGAUAUUAUAUAUGUUAACAUCAACUUGCUCUAUAGUGGAAAAUAUUUCCAAACCCAUUUCUAAGCAAUGAUAAAACAAUAUUUUUGGCAGGGAAUAAAGGGGGUUGUUGUGUUUUGUGCCUGUCUUUUUGUCCCAGUUAUUUAUUUAUAUUUGAUGGUCCAUGGCCUUGACUUGCAAGUAUUUUCUUGGGAGGCAUUUUUAUGCCAAAGAUCUAUAUUGCCUGUCAAACUUACAAACCUUGUUAUGGCUGUCACUGACCUUGUUGGAGAAUUUUAAGGUCACCUCUAUAAAUAGCAAGAGAAAAGUCACAGUUUCUUUUUUUUUUUUCUCCUUAAUUUAAAAAUAUUCUCAGACACUGACAUUAAUUAAAAUAGGAGGUAAGAAAGUAGAAAAAUCUGAUAUGCAGGAGAUAAGGCUCAGUUAACAUCAUCAUGUCUAGUAGUAUGCCGGUUUAUUCACAUAUCAUUGAAGCUUUAGACAACUUAUUGAGCUGGAUUCUGUUACUUUGGGAUCAAGAAAAAUGAGCCAGAGAAAAGUUGACUCUUGUCCUGAGUCACAUCACUGUUGGCAUGGGAAUACAAACUGAAAUUUUUUUUAACCAAGUUCAGAAAACAUCUGCCCUGAAAUAUAUAACAAAAAUUAAAAGUAUCUCCAAUUUGCAAAUGAAUACAACUAAUAAAUAUAUGUGUGACUUUUAUUUUCUUCUUCCUCUUCUUAAAUUUGUCCUCCCAUGUUGGCAAAGGUUAAAGCUGUUGACAAGAAUACAUGCAAAUGGGCCUCCUUGUUCACUGCCAGCAGGGAUGAAAAUUGGUUCAACCUUUCUAGGAAGCAAUUUGGCAAUAUGCAGCAAAAAUUUUCAAUGAUGACACAAUUUUACCCAACAGUUUGUUUAAGAGUUUAUCUUAAUUGAUAAAAAUCACACAAGUGUCUAACCAUGAGCCCAAAGAUGUAUUGCAUGAUGUCUAUGAAAUUAAGACAUUGGAAGUAACCUGAAUAUCCCCAGUAGAAGAUGGGUCAAAUAAAACAUGUAUAAAAUUAAAUUGCAUAUGACUGCCAUUAAAAAUUAUUUAGAUCUAUUUUUAUUGCUAUGGAAAUGUGUCCCUGAAAUAUUGUUGUGUGAAGAAGCGGACUACAGACUAGCAUGUUUACUAGGAGCCAUUUGUAACAUUGGACAUUUUUAAGUGAUAUAUGUUUCUCAGAGAGCUCUUUGCCAAAUGUUAAUGAUGUUUUUACUCUGGGCUGUGGUAUUUGGGAGAUCUUUACUUUCUUUUGACUUUCAUGUCUUUGAAAAUUUGAUAAUGAGCAUGUAUCAUUUUUAUUUUCAGAAAAGAAUAAAGCUAUUUUUAUUUUGGAAAAAUAAAUCAUUCUCUACUUUUCUACAUUUGCUUGGCUUCUUGCUUUCUUGUACCCUUGGUCAGCAACUAGUAAUAAUGCUUCUGUUCCAUUGUCC
rnacentral:lncRNA from 1 species